UCGGCCGGACUCGCCGGGACGGCCGCCUGAGGGGAUCGGGAGCCCAACAGCCGGAAGGACCGCCGAGCCCGCCGCCCCGCCCCGCCCGGCCCCUGCGGAGCCCGCACGUUCCAGGCUCGACGGGCCGCAGCGCAGCCCCGCACGCCGCAGGACCCGGCGAGUGUUUGAGAGGGCGCCGAAAGCGCGGGGAGGCGGGCCCGACGCGCCGUCACCGUCCCGCGACAGCUCGGUGACGCCGCCCGGCUCGCGCGUGCUUCGGGCUCCCACCUCCGCGCGGCUCCCUGGACGGGCCCUGCUCCUUUAACUGCGUGACGGGCGGCGCUUCCACCCUAUCACGUCCCUCGUCAACGUCCAAUCAGAUUCAAACUUCCCUCAGCCGCCGGACGAGUUGGAAGACCAGGGUCGAGAGCGAGCGAGCGGGAGAGCGAGCGAGUGAGUGAGCAAGCUCUUGGUCUCUCGCGAGAUCGGGCAGAGCCAAGUUCUCGGGGGGGGGGAGAAAAGAAAAAAACCACGCCAGAACCGAUGUCCAGACUUCCUAAGGAGUGAUUUAAAGGACGUGGCCGUGGACCAAUGAGAGGGAAGAGAAGGUGGGGUCGCCGCCCUCUCCUCGCUAGAAGUACCGUUACAGAGCAGGCUUUUUGUCCAAUCAACGCCUCGAGGCUCUGGGUCAGGUGACCAUGAAGUGCGAGGGGCGGAGCCACGGCCUGGCGCGAGGAACCGUUAAGAUAGACAACGAAUAGAACCAAUGAAGUACUUCGAUUAGGGCGUUGGGAACCCAAUAACAGCGUCGGGGCGGGCGCCUUCCCGUAGCGCGGGGAGAUGUGAAGACGGACAAAUAGUUUUUCCAAUGAGAAAGCUGAAGAGUGAGUUAAUUGACCAAUGAGGUCUGCGGGGCGGGAGCCUCUGCCGCGGCGGAGUCCAAGAUGGCGGCGUGCGAGUCCGCUGUGUGAAACGAGCGCGGGGUGGCGGGUUAGUCAGCUCCGCAGAGACGACCUCCGGCGACCCUCGACAAUGAAAGGAAAGGAGCGCUCGCCAGUCAAGCCCAAACGCUCCCGAGGUGGUGAGGACUCCGGUUCUCGUGGGGAACGGAGCAAGAAGUUGGGGGGCUCAGGCGGCAGCAAUGGGAGCAGCAGCGGGAAGACGGACAGCGGCGGGUCGCGGCGGAGCCUUCAUCUGGACAAGUCCAGCAGCCGAGGGGGCAGCCGCGAGUAUGACACUGGCGGGGGCAGCUCCAGUAGCCGCUUGCAUAGUUACAGCUCCCCAAGCACCAAAAAUUCCUCAGGCGGGGGCGAGUCGCGCAGCAGCUCCCGGGGUGGAGGCGGGGAGUCACGUUCCUCUGGGGCCGCCUCCUCAGCGCCUGGCGGCGGGGACGGCGUGGAGUACAAGACCCUGAAGAUCAGCGAACUGGGGUCCCAGCUGAGCGACGAGGCGGUGGAGGACGGGCUGUUCCACGAGUUCAAACGCUUCGGUGAUGUAAGUGUCAAGAUCAGUCAUCUCUCGGGUUCUGGCAGCGGGGAUGAGCGGGUAGCCUUUGUGAACUUCCGGAGGCCAGAGGACGCGAGGGCGGCCAAGCAUGCCAGAGGCCGCCUGGUGCUCUAUGACCGGCCUCUGAAGAUAGAAGCCGUGUAUGUGAGCCGGCGCCGCAGCCGCUCCCCGUUAGACAAAGAUACUUACCCUCCGUCGUCCAGCGUGGUCGGGACCUCUGUGGGCAGCCACAGGCACGCCCCUGGAGGUGGAGGUCAGAGAUCGCUUUCUCCUGGCGGUGCUGCUUUGGGAUACAGAGACUACCGGUUGCAGCAGUUGGCUCUUGGCCGCCUGCCUCCUCCACCCCCGCCACCAUUGCCCCGAGAGCUGGAACGGGAACGAGACUAUCCGUUCUAUGACAGAGUGCGCCCAGCUUACAGCCUUGAGCCGAGGGUGGGAGCGGGAGCAGGUGCUGCUCCUUUCCGAGAAGUGGAUGAGAUAUCACCUGAGGAUGAUCAGCGUGCCAACCGGACACUUUUCUUGGGCAACUUAGAUAUCACUGUGACAGAAAAUGAUCUCAGAAGGGCUUUUGAUCGUUUUGGAGUCAUCACAGAAGUGGACAUUAAGAGGCCUUCUCGUGGCCAGACCAGUACCUAUGGUUUUCUCAAAUUCGAGAAUCUGGACAUGUCUCACAGGGCCAAACUAGCAAUGUCUGGCAAAAUUAUAAUUCGGAAUCCAAUCAAGAUUGGUUAUGGUAAAGCCACACCCACUACCCGACUAUGGGUGGGUGGCCUGGGACCUUGGGUGCCUCUUGCUGCCCUGGCACGAGAAUUUGACCGAUUUGGCACCAUUCGAACCAUAGACUACCGAAAAGGUGACAGUUGGGCAUAUAUACAGUAUGAAAGCUUGGAUGCAGCUCAUGCUGCCUGGACUCAUAUGCGUGGAUUCCCACUUGGCGGCCCAGAUCGUCGCCUUAGAGUGGACUUUGCAGACACAGAACAUCGUUACCAGCAGCAAUAUCUUCAGCCUCUGCCUUUGACUCAUUAUGAACUAGUGACAGAUACUUUUGGACAUCGAGCACCUGACCCUUUGAGGAGUGCUCGCGAUAGGACACCACCCUUACUAUACAGAGAUCGUGAUAGAGACCUUUAUCCUGAUUCUGAUUGGGUGCCACCCCCACCACCAGUUCGAGAACGCAGUACUCGUGCUGCAGCUAGUGCUGUGACUGCUUAUGAGCCACUGGAUAGCUUGGAUCGAAGGAGGGAUGGCUGGUCGUUGGACAGGGACAGAGGUGAUCGAGAUUUGCCCAGCAGCAGGGACCAGCCAAGGAAGCGAAGGCUGCCUGAGGAAAGUGGAGGACGGCAUCUGGAUAGAUCACCUGAGAGUGACCGGCCUCGAAAACGUCACUGCACUCCUUCUCCUGACCGAAGUCCAGAACUGAGCAGUAACAGAGAUCGCUACAACAGUGACAAUGAUCGAUCAUCUCGUCUUCUUCUCUUGGAACGGUCCUCUCCAGUCAGAGAUAGACGGGGAAGUUUGGAGAAGAGCCAGAGUGACAAACGAGACCGUAAAAACUCUGCAUCAGCUGAACGGGACAGGAAGCACCGGACAGCUGCUCCCACAGAGGGAAAAAACACUCUGAAAAAGGAAGACCGAUCUGAUGGCAAUGCACCCAGUGCCAGCACUUCUUCAUCAAAGCAAAAGCCACCUUCCCAGAAACAGGAUGGAGGGACAGCUCCUGUGGCAGCAUCCUCUCCCAAACUCUGUUUGGCUUGGCAGGGCAUGCUUCUCCUGAAGAACAGCAACUUCGCUUCCAACAUGCAUCUAUUGCAGGGUGACCUCCAAGUUGCUAGCAGUCUACUUGUGGAGGGUUCAACUGGAGGCAAAGUAGCCCAGCUCAAGAUCACUCAGCGGCUCCGUUUGGACCAGCCCAAAUUGGAUGAAGUAACUCGACGCAUCAAAGUGGCAGGGCCUAAUGGUUAUGCCAUUCUUCUGGCUGUACCUGGAAGUUCUGACAGCCGAUCCUCCUCUUCCUCAGCCACAUCAGACACUGCCACCUCUACUCAGAGGCCACUUAGGAACCUUGUGUCCUAUUUAAAGCAAAAGCAGGCAGCUGGGGUGAUCAGCCUCCCUGUGGGAGGCAACAAAGACAAGGAAAACACCGGGGUUCUUCAUGCCUUCCCACCUUGUGAGUUCUCUCAGCAGUUCCUGGAUUCUUCUGCCAAGGCACUGGCCAAAUCUGAAGAAGAUUACCUGGUCAUGAUCAUUGUCCGUGCAAAACUGGUGAACAGCGGAUGAAGAUACCGAAUUCAAAGCUCUAAUGGACCUUUUUGAAGAGAAGUUGUGGCUUAUGUGGAGUUUACAUGGGCCUCUGAUGGAAGAAAGCUAAUCUGUUUAGUAUUUUGUGCAUUUUACUAAAAUGGCAGCUUAACAUUGUGUAUCUGCUAUUGUGAUGCCAAUGCCGGUGUUUUAAGUGGAAAAAAAAUGACCUCUUUGCUUUGUGCUGUGUACACAAGAUUUCUGGAAAAGUAAAGAAAAACCCUUUUUAUGGCUCACACAGCUUAAAAGUAGCUGUCACUCAAACAUGGGCUCACAGUUGAGCGGCUUUUGUUUUAUUCUAAAUAAAUUGUUUCUUUUGAGGAAAAUGUUUUUCUGCCUGGAAGUGAAUUGACGGCAAACCUUGACCCCUUUGUUUGCAGCGGAGGGGGUACUUGCUGCUGCUCAGAUCUUGUAUGUCCUGAGCAAGAAGCAGGGAGACCAUCAAUUUCGUUUUGACUAUCACGGUGUGUCAAUUCUGAAGGAUCAUAGUGUUACAGUGACCCCCUUUGUUUGCAGUGAAGGGGAUUGUUUGCUUCUGGUCCUCAACAGGAUGAGGGUGCUGUUUGCUGGCGUGCAAGAAGCCGGGCAAGCACUCUAAGCCUCACCACGGUGCACGAGUCGGGGGCUUUGCUGGUUUGAAGAGCCGGAGUUCCUGAAAUAUAAGUUUUGAUUUAUUUUGUUCACCCAUCACGUUUGGCUUUAGUUUCAUUUUUUAAUUUGAAGAAAAGUUUGAAAUUGCAUUAUCUUGCACUUAACAUUUGCACCAAAUUGCCAAAAGAAGGAGAAAUGCUCCGGUUGCUUUUUAAAUGUUAAUGAUGAUGUUAAUAAAGCCUUUCCUGACACAUUUGAGGAGCUCCUCCGUCUCCAGGGGCUUCUUACCAGAGUUAUGCAGUGAUGGGUUUAGUUCUGAAUGGAUGAAGAGUUCCUGAGAGCUAGCGUUUGUAAUUAGAACCGUUACUUGGUUUCUGUGCCUUAUUUGACCUGUGGUUCCACAUGCCUUGGAUGUGCAUGCACCGUGACGGUUUCAUAGGUUCGAACGCACACUCAGGCCCAGUCACUUCGGUUGGUAGUACAGAUUGUGAGGAAAAAAAAUGGAGGAGGCAUCCUUAAAGAGGAUUUUGUUUGCCUUUAGUUCCUGCAUUAUCCUGUACAGGGGCUCUUGAGCUUUGGAAGCCUGUUCCCAGUACAGGAGAAAAACUUUCCUGUUUGCAGCAGGAUACUUCAGUGCACAGUGACAACGCUGGAGUUCAAGAGGAAGCCAGCAGUUCUGCACCUUUGGCUUCAGACACCAUGGUUGUUUGCCAGUUUUAAACUUAAUAGUUGCAGACGAAGACCACCUUGACAUGCAGUCUUGUUGGGCUUGUUUUGAAUUUUAACCUCGGAUGGAAGAGCCCUAGUGCUGUCUUAUCUCCAUGCGGGAUGAUGAUUGCUAGGCAACAGGUGAUUAUCAACCAAGGAUGCCACGGUUAUACUCUGCAAGGUGGUGUUCCAGUGGUAAACAGCUGUAUAAACUUGUAAACAGGAACUACUGGCAAAACCUAUAUCUGACUUUUGGAUAUGGCUUUAUUACUCAACAAGUAAAAGAGGAGUUCUAAUUGCCAGACUUCUGGCACUGACAUUGUCCUCCUGUUUCUGUAGAAACUGGGUUGGAAGUCAGAGCUGCACAGAGGGAAAGGGAAUUUCAGCUUUUCGUUUGGUAAUAGAGAUGGGUAAGUAAAAUUGAGAAUCUCUUACAGCUCUGAAGAUUACCUAUAAACAUCUAGAUUUAAAGGUGAACACAGUCACAUAAUUUCCCAUAUCCUUAAUAAUCAAGUAAUGUUUUUUAUUUUGAUUUUCAAGCACUAGGAAUUGACGUUAGGGCCUCACAUGUGUAAGGCAGGUGGUCCACCACUGAGCUGUAUCUCCAUUCCAAAGAACUGAGUUACUCUGAAAGCCAACAUGUAGUGCUUCUUUGGUAGUUAGAACUUGGGAAGAGAUCCAUUGGUCUUUAUAAAGUUCUCUUUAUCGUUUUAUAAAGAGGAACGAGUUACAGAAACAAGGGCUUCCCUGAAGCCUCUCCCUUUAACAAGAUGCUUAACCACAUAACACCACUCUCAGUGAAAUGUCCUUAGUUGUGCCUUACCAUAAUCUUGAGACAUUGUAAGCAACUAACUCCUAGACUUAAAAUCUAUGUGGGCUUUUAGCAGUAGCCUAAUCACUACCUUUGACUUAUUAGAACUUAGAAAAUUUAUGACUGCCCAAGUAAAAUGCUUAGGAUUAGUGGAUACAAGUAUUUAUCAGGAGCUUCAUAUUUAUCCUUACAUAUAGUUCUAAGUAUUGUAGACUUUGGGUAAGAAAAGGCUAUAAACAUUUUUCUUCUGGUUGAUUAGAAACAAAUAUAUUUUAUAAUGCGUUAGGUGUGUGCAUGAAAUAAAAGUUUGACAAUAAAAUGAUUAUUUUCUAA